AGAGAAUCAUGUCGAGAGAACACAGUGAUAAAUUCUUAGAUUUGAUUCUCCAACCUGUCUUGCCGGAAUGCUUGUUCCGUUUGCUCAACUUCCUGGUAAUGCCUUUGAGGGCAGUGGUUACAGACAGCACUGCAGCGUGAAUCAUUGUCACAGCUGUAAUACACAAGGGUAGGCUAUAUCUCACCUUGUUGAUACCUUAAACCCUCCCACCUGCCAAAAAGCCGUCUCAUCGAGCAGGUGCCGCCUGUUUCUCCUAAAGGUGCUGCCUUCAGGUGUCUGGAUCACAAAAGACCUCGGCUGAACAUGGCUAUGUUUCACACCAGGAUAUCGUCCAUGACGUUCACAACUCCUUCUAAGUCCUCCAGUCUCUAAGCAAUGCACUUCUGGAAAACUUCUGGAGCUGAUGAGACACCAGAAGGAAGCUGUGUGAAUCGGUACCUACCGAAAGGUGUGUUAAAGGUCCACAACUUAGAACUGUCCUCAUCUAGCUGUAUUUGCCAGAACCCAUGGUUUGCGUCCAACACAGAAAAGAUCUUUGCAUUUGGCAUUUCUGCCACAACCUCCUCUACUGUCCGCAGAGGGUAGUGUCCCCUUUUUAUGUCUUUGUUGAGAUCUUGGGGGUCUAUGCAGAUUCUCAAUUUUUUGUUCGUUUUUUUGACCGUGACCAUGCUGUUAACCCAGUCAGUGGGCUCAGCUUGUUUUUCAACCACGUCAAGUUUCUCCAUCCUGUCCACUUUAGUUUUGAUUUGGUCUUUCAGUGCUAACGGCACUUUUCUGGGAGGGUGAAUAACCAGAGCGACUGCUGGAUCUAUCUGAAUGUGAUGCUGUCCCGGUACACAUCCCAACCCAGUGAACACGUCUUUAUAUUCUCUCAGGAUGUCUGUUUCCACUUCUUUGUCCAGUCUGUAGACUCUUUUUAUAAGUCCCAUUUCUGUGCAAGAAUCCCCUCCUAGGACAGCUGGUAAGUCAGCUCCUAUUAUCUGGAACUUCAACUCAUGCACUUUAGUUUUGUGCUCACAUUUCAGUUUUGCCAUGCCCAGUGGCACCACUUUGUGGCGGGAAUAUGUCACUAACUUGGUGCUGGACUCAAGUAGUGGAUCAUCCUUGUCAGCCACUUCGUGAAAGGUUGAAAGAGGUAGCACAUUGCAACCUGCACCAGUAUCUAACCUGAACGUGCACUUUUGAUCAUUCACUUUGAUUUCUUCAGUCCAUUUUUUCUGUUUUGUUUCUAUGGUAGCUCCUUUUUUCAGUCUGAGGCCUCUAGUUUCCCUGCGCGGCGCAGGGUGGUGCAGGGUGGCGAACCCCGCGCAGAGCUAGUUUCGAGCAGCGCAACCCGAGGCGCGCUCAGUUUGUUAGUUUGGCAGACCGAGAUGCGCUGAGAUGGGUGUGGCGGCACAGCAGGGGGAGAUGUCGACAGAUCCAGCUUGGCGCAGUGACACUUUGGUGCCAAAAGGCUUCGACGAAGGUGCACUAAAAGCUUGCCAGCUGAAACCAGGUCUACUGUCAGCGCAGGCAGAGUGCAGCCGGUGUAAGUGGACGUUUGGCUGACCAGCGGACAGUGCGCACACGUUUCCAAAACCUCACAGGCAGGUUUCCAGAAUGUCAGGCACAUUAACAAUGCAAUAAAUACCCCAAAAAAACACUAUUCAAUGCAACUAUCUGCUAUCAGCACAUAAAUGUAUCUCUAUAUCGACUGUCCCGUCACAUCUGAUGUCAGAUCAAAGGGGAUUGGCACCGUUUGGCACGUUUGGCACGCCUAAUGAAAACCCAACCUGAUUUGAUUAACACAGCUGCAAACUAAUGAGUUCACAUCCCUCUCAGCCAACCACAAAAAGCCACAGCUUCAGAUAGGGAGUAUAUAUUCAGCAUCUGUCAUCUUAAAUAGUCAAAAGAAAAUAAACAGAGUGAGACUGCGAGAGAGAGAGUGCGCGCACACGCACGAGAGAAAUGCUGUCAACAAAUUGUAGCCUAAGUUAUGUUCGGUGUCUUAAGGGUUUACGUGCUUUAUGUGAUUGCCUAUACAAAUGUUAAAAUGUUCUUGCUUAACGUGAUCUACAAAGAUGGAGUACAUUAUUGCGAGGAGGAAGACUUACGCAGAGAGGGUGUACCGUCAAAGGACAUCCUAUUUGGGCAUGACAGAGCUGGAAUGCAGGUGGGCCACACGAAUAAUGACUGGAAUACCGCCGUGUCCAUUGUAAUUGUAAUUUCAUGUCGUACUCUUUUUCAUUAUUCAGGAACAAAUUACAUCUACCCCGCAAGGUGGUCCAAGUGGUGACGCACAUCGUGGCCUCUGAUGCGCAUCCCGGUGGUACCUGUGCUCUCCCUGUUGCUGUAAAGGUGACAGUGGCUCUGACCGUCUUCGCCACCGGGUCUUUCCAGCACAACUUGGCCGCAGUGGCCGGGAUCUGUCAGUUCGGCUAUAGACGAAUUCGGUGAAAAAAACGGAAGUCAAGCAGCCGCCAUUACUGCGGUGACAGCUCCCCUCAUGGGCUCUGUGCGCGAAGCGGGCAUUUGGAUGCAAGCUCCAAGAAGUGGACCUUUUCUCUUCUGUGAAUAUGUCUAGGAAGGCUGGGAGGACAUGAGCCGUCCUCGGCUGUUCUGAUAACAGCGGAAAACUCCAACUUUGGAACAAAACUUUAUGCAAAAUACACAGCCCCUUACUUCACGAGGACUGUCCAUGUUUUAGACCGUGCAGUUUACACAGAUUUCCUGGGCGUGCCGAGGACCAAGGUGUUCGCCACAGGUGGAUAAAGAAUAUCAACAGAAAGGACUUCGUUCCCAAUAAAAACAAUACAGUGUGUGGAAUACACUUCCCUGAUGGCAGACCAAUGAAGGAAUACCCAUACCCUGUAUUGAGUAUGGGAUAUGAACAUCAUGAAACACUGCCAUAUGGAAGACCACCCCCAAAGAGAAGAUGUCUCGAGCCCUUAACAGACAACACAUCAUGUGAUGAACCUGAAGUAAUGGAUUCUGAAGCUGAAGUAAAUGUCACCAAUUUCGAAAAUACUGUGCCUCUGCAGAAAUGUGAUGUUGGCAUCCAGUGGCCAGAUACUAUAGACCAUAACUAUUGUUCUAACAAGUCAACAAAAGACAGUGCUACACAAACUGAUCCUGCACCGUCAGUGUCAGCUUGCGACUUGGAUGACAAAGACUCAAAGUUUUUCACUGGCCUAGGUAUUGACAGUUUUUGGCAACUUUUGUACACCAUCAUGGCUUUU